AAAGUAAAAAAAAAAAGUCUCAGAGGUAAUCCAGUGAGUAAUCUCUUUGGGGAACUGCAAGUGACUCAGUUUGUUGGAGAAUAGAGUUUGAGGAAGAGAGUAAGGAUAAAAGAAUUGGAGGGAAGUAGGGGCCAGGUUAUAUAGGGCUUUGUAAAUCAAUUGAGAUACUGGACUUCAUUUUGGAAGUCAAAAGGAAGGCACAGGAGUAUUUCAAGCAGGGAGGACAACAUUGCUCCCACUUUUCAGGUGAUAAAUUCAGAAGCCAGCCACAGCGCAGGCCUCCAGGGGGAACCCCAAGUGGCAAGAAGGACAGCAUCUCUAGGACCAGGG